CACACAGACAAACACAAAUAGAAAGAGAACACACACACACACACUGUGUAGAUCUCCCCAUUACGAAUAGGUUUUCGUCUGAUGUUACACACACAGAGGAAGAGAAAACACGCACACACACAUUCACACAGAUAGAGAGAUCAUACACACACACAGAAGGAGAGGGAGAACAUGUGUACGUUCAGACACACAUUUACAGAGAAAGACCACACACACACAUUCUCUCUGACAUGCUCACACACACACACACAAACAAAUACAGUUAAAAAGAGAACACACACACAUACACACACACAGUGCAGAUUUCCUCAUCAGGAAUAGGUUUUCAUCUGAUGUUACACACAGAGGAAGAGAAAACACACACACACACAGAAACAGAGAGGGAGAACACGUGUAUUGUCAUAAACACAUUCUCACUAACGUGCAUGCACACACACUCUGACUCACAAAUUCACAGAGAAAGACCUCACACACACAUUCUCUCUUUGACAUGCUCACACAUACACUGACACACAGACAAUACAAAUAGAAAGAGAACACAAACACACACACACACGCAAACAGAGUGCAGAUUUCCUCAUAAGGAAUACAUUUCGAUCUGAUAUUACACACAGAGGCGGAGAAAACACACACGCACACACUCGUAUAUGGACGCAUACACACUGACGCACAAAUAAAGAUCAUACACGCACCAAACACACAGUAAGAGAGAGGAAGAACAUGCAUACAUUCAGGCAUGUGUUCUCACUAACAUGUGCACUCACAGAGAAAGACCGCACACACACACAUUCCCUCUGACAUGCUUACACAUACAGAGACACACAGAGUAGGAGAACACACACGCACACACAUAGUGCAGAUGUCCUCAUAAGGAGCAGUUGUUCAUCAGAUGGUACACACUGAGGGGGGAUUCACUGACUUCAUUAUAUGUGCUCGUAAUGAAAACAUGACCUGACACACAAUAACUGAAACAUCAUCAGCAUCCUCCGUUACUUCCCUCAGUAGUGUGCGUUUAGUGUGUGUUUAUCAGGCUGUGUGUUAAUCUGUCCCUCUUAACGGCUCCGUUUAGUGUCUGUCACAUUAUCUCUGUGAGAGCUGGAGAUAUUAAUAACCAGGAAACGUGGAGGUGUUCCUGACAGCGCAGGAGCUCAGCACAUUACAGAUCAGGAACGGGGUAUGAUCAGGCAGCAGAGUCGAUUAGCAAAGAGAAUCGAUUCCUUGAUGCAGAGUCAUAAAAGGUCUGGGAGUAGAAUACAUUUAAGAAUCUAUUCCUUGAUUCAGAGUCAUUACAAUGAAUCGAUUCCUUGAUUCAGAGUCAUUAAAAGUCUGGAAGUCGAUUGCAGAAAGAAUCGAUUCCUUUAUUCAGAGUUUUUAAAGGCCUGGGAGUCAAAUACAAAAAAUAAUUGAUUUCUUGAUUCAAAGUCAUUAAAAACAAUUGAUUCCCCAAUUCAGAGUCAUCAAAGGCCUGGAAGUCGAAAAAUAUUUGAUUCUUUGAUUAUGAUUUAGUAAAGACCUGGUAAUUGAUUGCAAAAUAAUUGAUUCCUUUAUUCAGAGUCUUUAAAGGUUUGGGAGUUGAUUACAAAAAAAAAAAAUUAUUUCUUGAUUUAGGGUCAUUAAAGGUCUGGGAGUCGAAUACAAACAGAUUUGAUUCCUUGAUUCAGAAUCAUUUAAAAGCCAGGGAGUCGAUUACAAAGAAUGCCAGAGUCAUUAAAGGCCUGGGAGUCUAUUAUAAAAAUAAUUCAUUCCUUGAUUCAGAGUCACUAAAAAGAAUUGAUUCCUUAAUUCAGAAUCAUUUAAGGCCUGCCCAACAAACACACAACGUUGCCUCAACGUAGCGACCUUCCUACAACGUUGUAUCAACAUUGCAAAAAGGUUGAGGAUUCUACGUUGUUGCUAAAGGUUGUCACAACGAUGUCAUAAGGUUGCCAUUUAAACAUCAUGAGGGUCGCAUGCUUUAGGUUGUGCUUAGGUUGCGUGGACGACCACUGUACAACAUUUACUGGUCACAGCUGAAUCAGUUUAAAUUUCAACAAGCCGUCGUCUCAUUCAUCAACGACCGAGGAGACGCUAUUUUUACAUGGAGGUAAUCUUCUAUUGAUAAUUUCUGGAUUUUAAUUAUGCAAUGUUUUCAGCUGUUGAAUUCACCUCAGAUCAGUGUUGCUGUAAUUCCUGAUCUAUGGAAAGAAGAAUUGGAUGAGGU